UACGUAGGGUGCGAGCGUUGCCCGGAUUUAUUGGGCGUAAAGAGCGCGUAGGCGGUCCGAUAAGUCGGCUGUGAAAGUCAGGGGCUCAACCCUUGAAAGCCGGCCGAUACUGUCGGACUAGAGUCCGGAAGAGGCAAGUGGAAUUCCCGGUGUAGCGGUGAAAUGCGCAGAUAUCGGGAGGAACACCAAUGGCGAAGGCAGCUUGCUGGGACGGUACUGACGCUGAGGCGCGAAAGCGUGGGGAGCGAACAGG
rnacentral:rRNA from 1 species